GACGGGGGGGGCAAGUGUUCUUCGGAAUGACUGGGCGUAAAGGGCACGUAGGCGGUGAAUCGGGUUGAAAGUGAAAGUCGCCAAAAAGUGGCGGAAUGCUCUCGAAACCAAUUCACUUGAGUGAGACAAGAGGAGAGUGGAAUUUCGUGUGUAGGGGUGAAAUCGUAAAUAUACGAAGGAACGCCAAAAGCGAAGGCAGCUCUCUGGGUCCCUACCCGAG
rnacentral:rRNA from 1 species